rnacentral:rRNA from 1 species
GGUGGCGAUAGCACGAAGGCUACACCUGUUCCCAUGCCGAACACAGCAGUUAAGCUUCGUCACGCCAAGAGUAGUUGGGGGAUCGCCCCCCUGUGAGGGUAGGUAGCUGCC